CAGGGCCCUGCCAAAACAAAACAUAUUCUCCGCCUACCCCACUGGGUUAUGGGCAAUCAGCGACGUGCAAUGCGCGAAAGAGACACGAUAUCGGCCGUCGCGCGACGCACAAGCGGAGGAAGCGGGACAGCGCGAGGGAGCCGCGCUCCGUCCCGCUCUCCGGCGAGACCAGCCGCCACGGCGCCACUGUGCAGGUAACAGUGGGACAACCGACUUUAGAGCUAACGACCCGCGCCAGCGUUCGAGACAUACUAUUCUUUACCAGCAACUAAAAUUCUAUCCACUGUACUAUGAUAGAUAUAAUUAAUUACAUAUUUGUUAAAUAGAAAAUAUGCAGUCAACUGUU